GACGAAUGCUGGCUGCGUGCUUAACACAUGCAAGUCGAACGGUGAAAGGGAGCUUGCUCCCUGGAUCAGUGGCGAACGGGUGAGUAACACGUGGGCAACCUGCCCCUCACUCUGGGAUAACUCCGGGAAACCGGGGCUAAUACCGGAUACGACCUGGUGCGACAUCGCACCGGGUGGAAAGAACUUCGGUGAGGAAUGGGCCCGCGGCCUAUCAGCUUGUUGGUGGGGUAACGGCCCACCAAGGCGACGACGGGUAGCCGGCCUGAGAGGGCGACCGGCCACACUGGGACUGAGACACGGCCCAGACUCCUACGGGAGGCAGCAGUGGGGAAUAUUGCGCAAUGGGCGAAAGCCUGACGCAGCGACGCAGCGUGAGGGACGAAGGCCUUCGGGUUGUAAACCUCUUUCAGCGGGGACGAAGCGGAAGUGACGGUACCCGCAGAAGAAGCACCGGCUAACUACGUGCCAGCCGCCGCCGUAACAC
rnacentral:rRNA from 1 species